GAUGAACGCUCGCGGGAGGCCUAACACAUGCAAGCCGAGCGGGAUUUGUUGGUUAGCUUGCUAACUAACAAUGAGAGCGGCGUACGGGUGCGUAGCACGUGUGCAACCUGCCUUUAUCUGGGGGAUAGCCUUUCGAAAGGAAGAUUAAUACCCCAUAACAUAUUGAUUGGCAUCAGUUAAUAUUGAAAGCUCCGGCGGAUCGAGAUGGGCACGCGUAAGAUUAGCUAGUUGGUGAGGUAACGGCUCACCAAGGCUGCGAUCUUUAGGGGGCCUGAGAGGGUGAUCCCCCACACUGGUACUGAGACACGGACCAGACUCCUACGGGAGGCAGCAGUGAGGAAUAUUGGACAAUGGGUGAGAGCCUGAUCCAGCCAUCCCGCGUGAAGGACUAAGGACCUAUGGUUUGUAAACUUCUUUUAGACAGGGAUAAACCUACUCUCGUGAGGGUAGCUGAAGGUACUGUAUGAAUAAGCACCGGCUAACUCCGUG
rnacentral:rRNA from 1 species